GGAGGUUAUGUAAAAUUUUACCUUUUCCUCUUCACAUGCACACCUAUAUAUAUGUGUGUGUGUGUUGGAAAUAAUAUAUAUUUAUAUGUAAUAUGCAUAUAUAUGUGUGUAUGUAUAUGUAUAUAAAUUUUGUCCUAUUUAUUUCCCCAAAACACCAUUUAGCAAGAAGGGGCUCAAGGCACCUGAGAGGAUUAUAACAAGGAAGGGUGGGACUAAGGACUCUUAACUAGCCAGCAGAAAAGAGGAACUUCUAAACAGAUUAUACCAUGAGAGGAAAGCAAGAAGUGUAGGAAAAAGUAAACAGAUCUGCUCUGGGCUGGAAGUGGCUUUUGAGUCCUCCCAGCCAAGAGAGUUAUGAUUUUCUGACUUUUGGUAACUUCUGUUUUCCCAUUUAUUUCCUCCUCUAUUCAUUAAUUCAACAGGCAUUUAGGGUUUUCGUCUGUUGUUAAUUGAACAUUAUUAUUAUUAUUCAGCACCUACUAGGUGCUGAAGGGUGAGUAAUGGGCCAUUCUUUCUAACUCAGGGCUCAGGGUCGUCAGGUGUCUGGCACUUCAUUAGAUGUUCAGGAGUUUUUUGAAAAGGGCCAUAAUGUAGCUCACAGAAAGGAUAGAUGUGUAAAAAUAAACUUACACAUGGUGUUCUUUCACAACUUUGUAUUUUUUUCUGAAAGUGAAAUAAUAGUAUAACCAGUUGACCUCCCCCACUCCCGCCGAUUUGCUUGAAGACUGCCUGCUUCCCUCCAGAAAGUCAUUCCAAUGUGGAAGCUGGGUUGCUGAUAAGAAAAACAAAUAGCGGCAUGAUUUCUCCCUUACAGUAGCUUCCACUGCCUUGCCUGGGAAAGGAAUAGGCCUCUGAGAGAGUAUUUCCUGCGAAUAACAUUCGUCUGGUAGAGAUUUACAGGAACAUCUUCACCUGAUCAUGACCUGCCCUCUAGAACAAAGAAUUUGACAUCAAGAAGUCUGCAGCAACUAACCAUGCCCCUCCCUUACCUUUCCUAUAAAAGGGCUUUGCUGAGAACUUUUGGGGAGCUUGGGGUUUUUAAGGCCUGGGCCACCCAUCUGCUUGCUUGGCUGUGCAAUAAACCUUUCUCUCUUCCAGACUUUGAGAUUUUGGUAUUGUUUGGCUUCACUAUGCAUUUGGCACAUGGACUUGCUGUUCCCUAACAUUUAUAGGUGACGGUUCAAAGGCCUAGCCGAGAAAGGGCUUAGAGGAGCCUGGCUAGGGUUUGGUCAAGGACAGAAUCUUUAUCACUGGUUAUGGUCACUGGACACUGAUAGGGCCCACAUGGAUCUCAUUGUUAAGAUGGCUCAUUAUGUUGAGCUCGAAAACAAAGAAUAAAAUCACAGUGAUCCUUGAGACUGAGCAAAUUGCCCAAAUGACAUUCUGUUUUCUCACUGGCGCCUACCUUCUCAAAGCUACACGACCACCAGAUUCCAGACCUCCUGCUACGUGACCACAGGACUCAACUACAGGAUAAAAAUUAACUGUCACUUCAGAGAAUUUUUCAUUGGUGGGGUGUAAGAAAGACCCUGUAAGAAAGGGAGGACGCUGGUUCUUAAGGGCCAGUCACCCUCUUGUUUCCCUCUAAUAAAUUUCCCUUUUCUUGCCUGA